CAGAUCAGAAGGUGAUUGUGGCUUGGGUUCGAUAUUAAACAGCCACAGCACUGCCUGGUCAGAA
rnacentral:pre_miRNA from 1 species